rnacentral:rRNA from 1 species
UACGUAGGGUGCAAGCGUUGUCCGGAAUCAUUGGGCGUAAAGCGCGCGUAGGCGGCCCGGUAAGUCCGCUCUGAAAGUCCAGGGCUCAACCCUGGAAAGCGGGUGGAUACUGCCGGGCUAGAAUUCGGAAGAGGCGAGUGGAAUUCCUGGUGUAGCGGUGGAAUGCGCAGAUAUCUGGAGGAAUACCGGUGGCGAAGGCGGCAUCCUGGACCAUUACUGACGCUGAGGCGCGAAAGCUAGGGGAGCAAACGGG